AUUGAACGCUGGCGGCAGGCCUAACACAUGCAAGUCGUGCGAGCGGCGGACGGGUGAGUAAUGUAUGGGGAUCUGCCUCAUGGCGGGGGAUAACUACUGGAAACGGUAGCUAAUCCCGCAUACCAUCAGAUGAACCCAUAUGGGAUUAGCUAGUAGGUGAGGUAACGGCUUACCUAGGCGACGAUCCCUAGCUGGUCUGAGAGGAUGAUCAGCCACGCUGGGACUGAGACACGGCCCAGACUCCUACGGGAGGGAGCAGUGGGUAAUAUUGCGCAAUGGGAGCAAGGCUGAUGCAGACAUGCCGCGUGUAUGAAGAAGGCCUUCGGGUUGUAAAGUACUUUCAGUCGGGAGGCGUUACCGACAGAAGAAGCACCGGCUAACUACGUGCCAGCAGCCGCGGUAAUUC
rnacentral:rRNA from 1 species